CCUGCCCCGGUUUGGGAGUCGGCUUCCUGCGAAGCGCUGACUGAAGGCGUCAGACCGAGGCCCCGGGAGGAAACAGACUUCGGGAACAAGGCUAGCACCAGAGGCUGCGCGCCCCGGGCAUGGCCCCUGUCGGUGGGACCCGAGACGCCUUGUUGUGACGAGGUCCCUUCGUGCAGAGGCCUGGAGUGAUGCUAGUUCAUCAGCGCCUACAUGGAAUGGAGCUGUUCCAGUUGGCUACAGCCACGCUCCAAAGACAACCUUUCACCCCUAGAGAGGUGAUUAAUGGUGUUUAAGAGGGGAUGUGGGAGUAUGGCAGCAGAACAUCAGUUUCCAAAGUUGGAAUUCAAUCCCGAGUGAAUACACCCAAGAGUGUACAAAACAAAAAAUCAGCAAAACAUAGCAAGGACUCCACAGGCUUCCAAAUUCAAGACAAGUCAUUGACAACCUUCUUCUCAAUAGCAGGUCUCAGCAGCUGCAGGUCAGACCACAAAAGUGCCCCAGAAUGAUCAUCCCACCACAUUCUGUCUUUCUGAUUAUGACACCUUAUAGUCAGCGCUCCCAUCUAGGAUUAAAUUUUUAAAAUAAUCACAAUGUGGAGACUGUUGCUUGCCUGCCUCAUUAAAGCUGGCCUCUGGCAGGGGGGCAGGCCCUUUCAAAUUCAAACUAUGACUUCUAGAAUUCAAAUCACAGUGUUGGGUUUCCAGUUCAACCUGUGGUUUUUGAGAGGCUGAUUAUUUUUUGUUAAGACCCUUAUCCCCCACCCGCAGAACUCUCAGAAGAGUAAGGGGAAAAAAAGGUAAUAAAACACAAGGAAUUCCUUCAGGGAAGGAAACUUCCUCCAGAAGACCCUCAAACCAGGGAUGCUUCUUAGCUCUUUUCUUUUUAAGCUAGAAUCUCUCAAAACCACAAUUUGAACUUGCAACCACAAUUUUCCUGACACUGUAUCAAAGGCUGGUCUUAAAGGAGCCACCAAUAUGCCUAGUAUCAACCCUACUCCACCGUGGGGACAGAGCAGCCUUUCUUCCCACCGGAUCACUGAGAGAAACGUGGUCCCAGACAUUGGCCCACCAAGCUGAAAAGAAGACAGGCUUUGUUUGCCAGACAGAAGAGUGAAUCCCAUAUGUGCCCUACUCCUGCUGUAUUCUCAAACCAAAAGCACCAAAGGUUCACUUGAUUAGAUCAGAGGAAACAAAAUGAGGGUCCAAAGGGCAUGUGGCAACAAGCAGCUGGGAGGUACAUGAGGAGCUACUAGGUGGCCUGGGGGCUAGAUGACUGGACACUGCACACAGAGCUGGCUAUAAAACCAGGAAAGGCAGUCCAGGCAACCCCCAGGCCCAGCAGGUUACCGACAGAGGCAAGUAAGAAUCAAAUGGUGUCAAGGACAACCAAAAAGACCAGUGAAUUUCUAAGCCCAUCAUCCUUGGGAUCCCAUCAAACAAUCACGUGAUGAAGAAGAGGUAUAGAUGUCUUCACUUUCACUACUUGAAAAGAGCUGUUCUAACAGCAAGGGCAAGUGAAUGCAACAACUGCCAUAAAAGGGAGGAUACUGCCUAAGUUCGCAGUAAAUUAAGAAUAGUUAACCUGGAGUCCUGGAUAGCUGGGCAGGGUGAAUAAAAGCAAAAACAAAUGUACCUUUCUUCUUAUAUUCUAC
rnacentral:lncRNA from 1 species